UUCUACUCAGCGAUACCAUAGACAGAUCGCGGUUCCCCUCUUCUUAUUGCUCUUAACUCUUCCACAAUCCGUCCGCACCAGUCCCCAGUCCGUCAGCUCGUCGCCGGAGCAUGUUCGCCGAGCUUGCCAGAUCGAACAGGUACGUCUCGAUGGAUGCAGUAUCGAGAGCUGUUAUGGUUCAUCCCGAGCAGUUCGGACCUCGUAUCCGCUGCAAGGGAUAAGCAAGCGGUAGCUUGGAGGCCGUGACAUAUCGGAAGCAUACAAGAUUGGGUUAUAGCUGACUCAUAGUAAGAAGAAGCGUGCCUGAAGCUGAUAAUCUAAACGCAUCUGGCUCGGAGUCAGGAUUCAGCUCGAUGAGCUUCAUAGGAUGCGUCAUUCGUAUAGGUUCUCUGAUCCAUUUGCAGUAUUCUCAAGCAACCCAAAGAUUGAUAACAAGUUCACAAUUCGUUGUGAUGGUCAUUCUACGAUGUUCUAAUUUCUAAUUUUUAUCUGUAAGGAGCAAAUAAAUGAAUAUUUGUUUUUCGUGGUUGAUGCAUACACUACUACUUAGAACUCCACUGGCGUGGCACAUAGUAACAGUGGCACAGGAUUUAUAUU